rnacentral:rRNA from 1 species
AGCGAACGCUGGCGGCAGGCCUAACACAUGCAAGUCGAACGAACUCUUCGGAGUUAGUGGCGGACGGGUGAGUAACACGUGGGAACGUGCCUUUUGGUUCGGAAUAACUCAGGGAAACUUGUGCUAAUACCGAAUGUGCCCUUCGGGGGAAAGAUUUAUCGCCAUUAGAGCGGCCCGCGUCUGAUUAGCUAGUUGGUGAGGUAACGGCUCACCAAGGCGACGAUCAGUAGCUGGUCUGAGAGGAUGACCAGCCACACUGGGACUGAGACACGGCCCAGAAUCCUACGGGAGGCAGCAGUGGGGAAUCUUGCGCAAUAGGCGAAAGCCUGACGCAGCCAUGCCGCGUGAAUGAUGAAGGUCUUAGGAUUGUAAAAUUCUUUCACCGGGGACGAUAAUGACGGUACCCGGAGAAGAAGCCCCGGCUAACUUCGUG